rnacentral:rRNA from 1 species
CCUUGUACACACCGCCCGUCACACCAUGGGAGUGGGUUACACCAGAAGUAGCUAGUCUAACCUUCGGGAGGACGGUUACCACGGUGUGAUUCAUGACUGGGGUG